AGAGUUUGAUCAUGGCUCAGAUUGAACGCUGGCGGAAUGCUUUACACAUGCAAGUCGAGCGGCAGCGCGGGGCAACCUGGCGGCGAGCGGCGAACGGGUGAGUAAUGCAUCGGAACAUGUCCAUGUCGUGGGGGAUAGCCCGGCGAAAGCCGGAUUAAUACCGCAUACGCCCGAGAGGGGAAAGCCGGGGACCGCAAGGCCUGGCGCGAUUGGGUUGGCCGAUGUCCGAUUAGCUAGUUGGCGGGGUAAGAGCCCACCAAGGCGAUGAUCGGUAGCUGGUCUGAGAGGAUGAUCAGCCACACUGGGACUGAGACACGGCCCAGACUCCUACGGGAGGCAGCAGUGGGGAAUUUUGGACAAUGGGGGAAACCCUGAUCCAGCCAUUCCGCGUGAGUGAAGAAGGCCUUCGGGUUGUAAAGCUCUUUUGUCCGGAACGAAACGGCUAGCGUGAAUAUCGCUGGCUACUGACGGUACCGGAAGAACAAGCACCGGCUAACUACGUGCCAGCAGCCGCGGUAAUACGUAGGGUGCGAGCGUUAAUCGGAAUUACUGGGCGUAAAGCGUGCGCAGGCGGUUUUGUAAGCCAGAUGUGAAAUCCCCGGGCUUAACCUGGGAAUGGCAUUUGGGACUGCAAGGCUUGAGUGCGGCAGAGGAGACUGGAAUUCCCGGUGUAGCAGUGAAAUGCGUAGAUAUCGGGAGGAAUACCGAUGGCGAAGGCAGGUCUCUGGGCUGACACUGACGCUCAUGCACGAAAGCGUGGGGAGCAAACAGGAUUAGAUACCCUGGUAGUCCACGCCCUAAACGAUGUCGACUGGUUGUUGGGGGUUUGACACUCUCAGUAACGAAGCUAACGCGUGAAGUCGACCGCCUGGGGAGUACGGGCCGCAAGGUUAAACUCAAAGGAAUUG
rnacentral:rRNA from 1 species